rnacentral:rRNA from 1 species
GUUAGGAAUAUUCGUCAAUGGAGGAAACUCUGAACGAGCAAUGCCGCGUGAGUGAUGAAGGUCUUAUAGAUUGUAAAACUCUGUUGUAUGGAAAAAACGACUAGGUUAGGAAAUGAACUUAGUGUGAUGGUACCAUACCAGAAAGCCCCGGCUAACUACGUGCCAGCAGCCGCGGUAAUACGUAGGGAGCAAGCGUUAUCCGGAUUUAUUGGGUGUAAAGCGUGUGUAGGCGGUUACUUAAGUCUGUGGUUUAAGGCUGGAGCUCAACUCCAGUUCGCCAUGGAAACUGAGUUACUUGAGUAUGGUAGAGGCAAGUGGAAUUUCUAGUGUAGCGGUGGAAUGCGUAGAUAUUAGAAGGAACACCAGUGGCGAAAGCGGUUUGCUGGGCCGUUACUGACGCUGAGGCACGAAAGCGUGGGGAGCAAAUAGGAUUAGAAACCCGAGUAGUCC